rnacentral:rRNA from 1 species
CCUACGGGAGGCUGCAGUGAGGAAUAUUGGUCAAUGGACGAGAGUCUGAACCAGCCAAGUAGCGUGAAGGCUGACUGCCCUAUGGGUUGUAAACUUCUUUUAUAAAGGAAUAAAACGAGGCACGUGUGCCUUUUUGCAUGUACUUUAUGAAUAAGGAUCGGCUAACUCCGUGCCAGCAGCCGCGGUAAUACGGAGGAUCCGGGCGUUAUCCGGAUUUAUUGGGUUUAAAGGGAGCCUAGAUGGGUUUGUAAGUCAGUUGUUAAAGUUUGCGGACCAACCCGAAAAUUGCAAAUGAUACUGGGAGGCCUUGAUACAGGUGGGGUAGGCCGAAUU